GACCUUGCACACACCACCCGUCACACCACGAAAGUCGGUUCUACCCGAAGUGGUCGAGCUAACCCGCAAGGGGGGCAGACUCCUAAGGUAGGGCUGGUGAUUGGGGUGAAGUCGUAACAAGGUAACCGUAA
rnacentral:rRNA from 1 species